rnacentral:lncRNA from 1 species
GAUCUUGGUCAAGCACGCAAGCCCAUUACAGCCGUCGAUGUUCAUAGCACAGGAGCCACAGAUUCCUUCGCGGCAAGAUCGGCGGAAAGUGAGAGAAGGGUCGAUCUCGUUCUUGAUCUUGAUGAGGGCAUCCAAGACCAUGGGUCCACAUUCUUUCAGGUCGAUCUGGUAGUCCUGAAGUUGAGGUUUUGACGGGUUGUCAGGGUUCCACCGGUAGAUUUGGAAGGUCUUGAGGUUCGAACUGGAGCUGGCCUUUGGC